UGGAUCGAUCAUCAGCAGUUUGACUAUGUCC
rnacentral:piRNA from 1 species